UACGGAGGAUGCAAGCGUUAUCCGGAAUGAUUGGGUGUAAAGCGUCCGCAGGUGGCAAUGUAAGUCUGCUGUUAAAGAGUCUAGCUCAACUAGAUACAAGCAGUGGAAACUACAUAGCUAGAGUACGUUCGGGGCAGAGGGAAUUCCUGGUGUAGCGGUGAAAUGCGUAGAGAUCAGGAAGAACACCGGUGGCGAAGGCGCUCUGCUAGGCCGUAACUGACACUGAGGGACGAAAGCUAGGGGAGCGAAUGGG
rnacentral:rRNA from 1 species